UGGCUCAGAGGGUAAAGCAUCUGCCUGCAAUGCGGGAGACCCAGGUUCGAUCCCUGG
rnacentral:tRNA from 1 species